UGUACAUAUUGAUAUUGUUUCUCAUGAAAAGUCAUUGGAAGUGGUUAUAUGUAGGACUGCUUUCACUAGAAAUAACUAAAAAAUUUUGAAGUAAUUUAAAGAAGGCAUGCAUUAUUUAAACACUUAUUAAAAGUCUGUACACAUUUUAAAUUAAAUAAUGGUCUUUAUUUGUAGGACUCUGAAGAUAUCUUUACCAAGCAAUCUAUCUCUAUUAUUACAGAGGAACCCAAACAACCAUGUCAACAUAGUCAAAGUCAUUUGUCACCCACUGGCCACUAUACUGGGCUAUUGUUACAGUUUGACUUUGCAUCAAAUGUAUCAUGUCAGCAAUCCUUUGUUGUUCAUGAUUAUAAUGCAAACAAAAGAACAAUUAUGCAUAAUUCAUUUGUAUUUGUACAUCGAUAUCCCCACCUAUUGCUUGAUGGCUAUGGUUGGAUAUUGUGCUGCUCAUGUGAUGCAAAUAGAAAGCAAUUUGUUGAUGCCCUACCUAAUAAUAUACAAUUAGAUCCUCAAAAAGAUAUACCAUAUCCGAGUUGCAUACACAUAUUAGCAAUGGAAAAAUAUCUGGUUGUGUAUGAUAGAAAGUUUGGUAUUGAAGCCAAAGAUUUUAUUGAAAAAAAAUCCACAUCCAUGAUGCAGUCUGUUUUCAGUGAUCAUUCCUACCAUGAGAUGCAACCUGAAGAAGACUUGUUUAGUGCAGUGUGCAGGAGGUUCAGUGGAUUGCUGUAAAACCAGUGAAUAGUCCAUGGGGGGUUUGUACUUUAGUGUAUUCAAAAGUAAUGCCGCCCCAGCCCGAGUUAAAAUGUUGCAGCUAUUCGUCAUAUCAUUGCAUUCAUGUGACAACCCUUGCAAAAGCCAUGCAAAUCGUUGACGAGGAUGAAAUGGAUUCUCCAUUGGCACUUUUUAAGUUUUCCUUUGGAAUUACACCAGAUGCGAGACUAUUUUGAAUUGGCUACACUUAGCAAAGAAAAGGUUUCUUUAUUUGAAACAAGUAUGCAAGAUAAUCUGCAAUGGCAAUGAGAAUGAUGCAAGCGAUUUUACUGAUCUUCCUGAAAAAAAUGGUCAUAAAAUUUUGGCGCCAUCUGAAAGUGGUAUUUGUUCUUGUGGUGCAGAGUGGGAUAAACGUUCUAUUCAAGAUGAAUGGUUGUACGUAGACUUGUGUUCAGUUGCGUACUUUUGUUCAAUCCAUGAUGUGAAGGUGUAUUGUAGACCUUGCUCCUCUUGUGCUACGAAAAAGCAUUAUGAUGGCAUUGAAAACAGGAUUGUAUGGUUUGGAUCAUAUGCAAUAUCUCAUGCCGAUCUAAAAGAUUACAUUCGGCUUUUCAUAACGGCUUUUCGAGUUUACCUAUGUACAAAUAUUAUGUUGCAUAUGUACAAAGGCAAGUGUCUUCGGUAGUUUGAAUUUCCCAAAGGAAAUAACUUACGCCAAGUUUCGUCUCGCUAUCAUUGCCAUGAUACGGUUGCUUGAUAUUGAUUUUGACAAUGGGUUUUUUUGUGAAUUAUGUGGAAGAAUUCCCAGAAGGUGGUGAUGGAUGGAACAACUCUUGGAAUACAGAAAACUUUCUUACCAAAUAAUUUAAGAGAGUCUGAUACUGGAUUGCUAGAUUGAAGAUAAGUAUUUUUGAAGUUUAUCUGUAAUAUAUAAUAUAUACAGGUCUGCUAAUUAGUAAAUACGAGUGUUCAUCUACGUA